UUUGACUCACAGGCAAGGGGCAGGCUCAGCUGGGGGCAGGUGACCUGUGCUUUCACUUUAAGAGCACUACCAGGUAGCAGCGUGGAUACAUCGCCAAUGCACAGAGUGUAAAUAAACGAAAGAUCCAUGUGCCAAGCCUUGGGAUGGUCUGUCUACAAGUAGGAAGAGGAAGCAAGAAGAACCGUGUUUUUGUGUGCUGGAGAAAUGAUUCUGAGAAAUGGGACAAGAGAGGAUGCCCAAGACAUGGAAUAAGUGCAGAUACAGGGUCCUGGAGCAGGUGAGAUAGUGGGACCCGGAUCCCUACCGGAGAGGGGACACUCCGUGUCACCGUAGGAAAGGUGUAGUUUGUUUGCACCUGAGGGAGAGGGUGGGCAGUUUGUAGGUGAGGGCUUAUGGAAACUUUCUCCUCACUACUUUUUAUAUUUUCAAGGAC
rnacentral:lncRNA from 1 species